AUGUUGUACUACAUGCCUAUGAAAUUUUGUGAUAACAAAUACAAGUUGUUUUUUAAUCGUUCCACAACUAUCACUGCGGUUGACAUAUCAGAUAUUCCACAACACAACUUCUACUUUAAGUCCUUUACUAAUUUCCAAAACGGAGAUUUCAUUGGUGGCUGCCUUUACGGUGUUGUCCAGCAAGUUGUUAGAACUCAAGUAUUUGGUGCUGGAAAAAAGGCAUGCGUAAACCUCACAUUUAUCUGA